GUCCUGAUAUCUGGAAUAACACUCCGAAAGGUGUGCUAAUACCGGAUACGCUGAGAAAUCAGGAAAGGUGGCCUCUUCAUGAAAGCUACUGUAUCAGGAGGAGCUUGCGUACCAUUAGCUAGUUGGUGGGGUAAUGGCCUACCAAGGCAACGAUGGUUAGCGGGUCUGAGAGGAUGAUCCGCCACACUGGAACUGGAACACGGACCAGACUCCUACGGGAGGCAGCAGUGAGGAAUAUUGCGCAAUGGGGGCAACCCUGACGCAGCGACGCCGCGUGGAUGAUGAAGGCCUUCGGGUCGUAAAAUCCUGUCAGAUGGAAAGAAAUGUCAUAUGCCUAAUAUGUGUAUGAUUUGACGGUACCAUCAAAGGAAGCACCGGCUAACUCCGUGCCAGCAGCCGCGGUAAUACGGAGGGUGCAAGCGUUGUUCGGAAUUACUGGGCGUAAAGCGCGCGUAGGCGGCUUUUUAAGUCAGAUGUGAAAGUCCACGGCUCAACCGUGGAAGUGCAUUUGAUACUGGGAAGCUUGAGUACUGGAGGGGAUGGUGGAAUUCCCGGUGUAGAGGUGAAAUUCGUAGAUAUCGGGAGGAAUACCGGUGGCGAAGGCGACCAUCUGGCCAGAUACUGACGCUGAGGUGCGAAAGCGUGG
rnacentral:rRNA from 1 species